AACGCCGCGUGAGUGGAGAAGGUUUUCGGAUCGUAAAACUCUGUUGGUAGAGAAGAACGUUGGUGAGAGUGGAAAGCUCAUCAAGUGACGGUAACUACCCAGAAAGGGACGGCUAACUACGUGCCAGCACCGUCGGUGACUGAGCGGGCUGGCAAGGCGCAUA
rnacentral:rRNA from 1 species